UCCCAGCUGAAAUGAACUAGGAAGUCCCCA
rnacentral:piRNA from 1 species